AGCGAACGCUGGCGGCAGGCUUAACACAUGCAAGUCGAGCGGGCCUUUCGGGGUCAGCGGCGGACGUGUGAGGAACGCGUGGGAACGUGCCCUCUGGUUCGGAAUAACUCAGGGAAACUUGAGCUAAUACCGGAUACGCCCUUUUGGGGAAAGGCUUGCUGCCGGAGGAUCGGCCCUCGUCUGAUUAGCUAGUUGGUGAGGUAACGGCUCACCAAGGCGACGAUCAGUAGCUGGUCUGAGAGGAUGAUCAGCCACACUGGGACUGAGACACGGCCCAGCAUCGUACGGGAGGGAGGAGUGGAGAAUAUUGGACAAUGGGCGCAAGUCUGAUACAGCCAUGCCGCGUGAGUGAUGAAGGCCUUAGGGUUGUAAAGCUCUUUUAUCCGGGACGAUAAUGACGGUACCGGAGGAAUAAGCCCCGGCUAACUUCGUG
rnacentral:rRNA from 1 species